AAGUAAUCAAACAGAGCUUUAAUACAAUACCCUCUUUUCAGAUUUGCACUUUUCUUCAAGGGGCCAGUGACUACCUGAUUGAGGAUCAGAAAGUUCCAUAUGCGGUUAAACAAAAUGAGUGGGUUGGAUAUGACAACAAAGAAAGUUUUGCGACUAAGGUCCGUUACCUAAAGGACAACGGAUUUGGAGGAGCUUUCGUUUGGGCUCUGGAUAUGGAUGACUUUAAAGGACAGUUUUGUAACCAGGGAAACUACCCUCUCAUCAGCUAUCUCCGCUCUCUUGUAGCCCCAGAUCUUCCUCCUCUUCCCACUACAGGAACCAACACAAAUCAAACUCAUCCAGGACCAACAACCAUUACUCCAUCCAACAACCAAGACAACUUCUGUGCUACAAAGACUGAUGGGAUUUAUGCCAAACCUGAUGCCCCAGGUUCCUUUUACAAUUGUGCCAAUGGCAUCACCUCGAUCCAAAACUGCCCAGCUAAUUUGGUCUUCCAAGAUAGCUGCAAAUGCUGUAACUAUCCCUAAAAGCUUGCACCUCAUCAAAAGUGAAAAUUAUUAAAGCAAAUAUAAUUCUUGUUAUUUACAAGUUAAAGGGUUUUUUGUUGUUAAUUUCACAAUGGUAACGUAGUGCUUGUGAGACUAUAUAUUUUCUAAAGUGUAAUUGAUUAUCUUAUAUUUUCCCGUGAUUUGUUUUCUCUCUCCUAAAACAGGUAAUUAAACCUUAAGCAUUAAACACACAAUGGUAAACCUUAUUGAUUGGCAGCUUUUUUCCAUUACACUGUAACUUAAAACAUAACAUAUAAUAUUGUAGUAACCUAAUGGUCUAUAAUAUGUAACAAAAAAAAAAAAAAAAAGAAUAAAUACAAGAUUGACAUUAUGAUCAGAAGCCUGAACUGUCACGUUUUUUGAGACUGAUCUCACCCAUUAAACCAACACUGUUCCCAGCUCCCGCUCCUAUAGGUCAUGUUUUCAGGUUUCCUUCACGUUCAUCUUACUUUCCUCACUUCCUGUUUUAUUUUGUUGCUCAUCGUGUGAUUGUGUCGCAGGUCAACUUCCGGUUAUUGUCUGCCUUCCCACCUUUUGUGAUCACCUUCCCAGCCCUAAUGUCCUGCACCCGUGUCUAAUUGUCUCCCCUUCUCCAAGGUCAGGGCCCUAAAGUAUAAUCCGUUUUUCGUUUUAAACCAAAAACAAAAAAACGGGUCGAUGUUUCGUUUUUGGUUUCAAACCAAAAGCGGAAAAACAAAACUACCCUGACCCUCCGUUUUCCCGUUUUUCCAAUGUCCAUACAAAUUAAAAAUUAACUGGAAAACUGCUCGUUUUUCAAUUGUUGUUUUUUUGUUAUUCAUGUUUCCGUUUUAACCCAACAGCGAGAAUACGGGCUCAUUUUUAUAAUGUGCAUAAUCAUUGAAAAUCCGAUGGAACACAGGUCUCGUUUAUAAUGUUAUUUUGGUCUUACGUGUUAAAGAUCAAAGUUGACUAAAACCAAUGCGCUUUGGACCGGAAGAAACAUUAACGUGUCAAAACAAAAGUAUGAGAAUUGUAAUAACUGCCAGAAGAACAAUGUACUUUAGCUUUUGCCUGUAGCUUGUCAGAUUAAGCUACAGUUAAUUAUUUAGGGUUAUAUAAAGUAUUUAAUUGAGCAACAUUCAUUAAUAGCCACAAAGGGAGUAAGAAUGGAUAUUGUUUUAAAAUAGAAAUAGGAUUAUAAUAAUUUUAAAAUCACAUUUUAAAUAAAAUCUGCAUUCCCAUAGCAUUAUGUGUGGCAUUAUUGACUACUUUUACUCUAAUCUACACCAGCCAGUAAAAACAAACAAAAAAUAUAAGGGCUUUUUUUAAUUGCUCUGCAGAAUAUUGUAUGUGACAUGGUUGACCACAUUAGCUGCCAAUGAACAUGUCAAUGUGAUGAAGAACAUAAAUUAACAAAUUAAAGUGUACUGGAGACUCUCUCAUUCUGGUCUGGUCUCCUCAGGCCCUGCAGACUGGACCAGAGGUCAUGGUGAGCAUGGUAGACCUCCUCACUGCUGGGCCUGUGCCUGGAUCACCCAGCUCGUUAAAUGUUCACUGCUCAUACUAAGCCCUUGAAACAGUAGUUUGCCAAUACUGGAUAAUACAAUAUAAUACAUGAUAGGUAUUGUGUGGUUGAAUUACAAUAAGGAAUGGUCAAUGGUAAGCACUGUGGCCUCACAGCAAGAAGAUACUGGGUGGGAACCCUGGUGGCCCGGGGCCUUUCUGCAUGGAGUUUGCAUGUUCUUCCCGUGUCUGCAUGGGGUUUUCUCCAGGUGCUCUGGUUUCACUCUCCACUAAAAAAAAAAAACAUGUUCACCUCCCUUUCACUUAAUUGUAAGUCGCUUUGGAUAAAAGCA